UAGUCAUAUGCUUGUCUCAAAGAUUAAGCCAUGCAUGUCUAAGUAUAAGCAUUUAUACUGUGAAACUGCGAAUGGCUCAUUAAAUCAGUUAUAGUUUAUUUGAUGGUACAUUACUACUUGGAUAACCGUGGUAAUUCUAGAGCUAAUACAUGCGCAAAGGGCCGACUCUCGCGGGAGGCCUGUAUUUAUUAGAUACAAAACCAACGGGCGGCGACGCUCAGUUCCUGGUGAUUCAUAAUAACUGCACGAAUCGCACGGCCGUGCGCCGGCGAUGCUU
rnacentral:rRNA from 1 species